AUUGGCUGUUAUGGCUUUACGAAAAAGAAAGCGUAAAUGCAAUUGGCUGGAUUUACUGUCAGUUUACUGAUCUGGAACGCGAAGAGGCGCGAGCUUAGAAGAUAGAUGUAAAUUCUUGCACCGGAAGUACCAUGGUGCUCCUAAGGGCAGGUCUGUGUCCAGGGUUGAGUGAAGACCUCAUUAAAGCUCUACUUGAAGGAGCUGUUAGAACAGUUGAGGACCUUGUCCUGUCUGAUCCAGAACAUCUGGCCCAGAAAUGCUCAGUGUCCUACAAGGCCUUGGUGGCAGUUCGGCGUGUUCUUCUGGCACAGCAUGCGGCGUUUCCUAUCUCAGGAGCCGACCUGUACGAUGAGCUGCUGAGCUCCACUUCUAUCCUCUCCACAGGAAUUACCAGUGUGGACAAUCUGCUUGACUCUGGACUGUACACAGGAGAAAUUACUGAAGUGUGUGGAGGACCAGGAACAGGCAAAACACAGAUCUGCUUCAGUGUCGCUGUCAGCGUUGCGCAUGAGCUGAAGCAGAACGUAACCUACAUCGACACAAACGGAGGAAUAUGUGCUAACCGGCUGCUCCAGAUGCUUCAGGAGAAAACCAUGGAUUCAGCAGAGCAGAUGAACGCUCUUCAGAGGAUCGGCGUGUUCAGAGCGUUCGACGUCUUCGCCUUGCUGUCCUGCCUUCAAAAUCUAAGAGCCAACAGUCUCCAGAUGGGAACUGUUGGUAGCGGUUCAGUCAAAGUCGUGAUCGUGGAUUCCGUGUCGGCCGUCCUCUCCCAUAUGCUUGGAGGAAAACAGAACGAAGGCAUGUCCCUGAUGAUGCAGGUGGCUACAGAGCUGAAAACGAUCGCCAAGGAUCUUAACGUCGCCAUUCUGGUGAGCAAUCAUGUAACACGUGAUGGGAACAAUCAGCUGAAGGCGGGACUGGGGCAGUCAUGGAGCCACGUUCCACGCACGCGUAUCCUCCUGCAGCGAGGGGAGCAGCCUGGAGCUUCCUCAAGCCUACGCACGGCCACAAUCCUAAAAUCAUCACGACAGCCCUGCUACUUGAUGGAGGAGUUUAAUUUGAGUCCUCAACCUCAGGAAGAGUCACAGACUGGGUUUGCUGGGAAGAGAAAAUUGGACACCGAUUCAUAACAAGCUACAGUGCAACUUUUAGACUCCAGCCAAGAUCAGGCUGGAUUUUGCAUGAUGGCUGCACACGGGCAUUUCCGUGCUUUAGGUUCAGUCCAUAUAGCAAAUGUUAGAAUUCGAGCUGAAGCCCAGCGAAGACCUGGACCCCAGAUCCAGUCGGCGGUGACUUUCAGGGCCCGGCUGCCCUCCUCGGGGUCCGCUAGGGUGUGCGUCGCGGAGGCGGCGGCGUAAUCGGGAACGAGGUCGCCGUUGUACGCCAAGAAGUAGCGCCUCAGCUUUUCGAAGUCCUUCACCGAUCCCGGGAGAUGCAGCUUCACUCCGCCGAAGAUGUCCAGCAGAGUCUGCAAAAAGAUGAAGUGCAAAUGAUUCAUUCAACAAGUGGAGAAAACACGGCAGGGCACGGUGUAGGAAAGGAAUGUUUUAUUACUAUUAUCUAUAGUGAAUUGCUACUGUGUACGUCGUUCAUCUUUUGGUGGGGAAGGUACAUAAAAUUUACAGUUCGGUUCAUACCUUGGGUUUUUAAUCACUGUUCGGUUCAAUUUCGGUACGGUUAGAGAGAAGAAAUGUAUAACAUAAAAUUGCUUGUAGUUUUUUAUUAUUAUUAACACAGUUUAAUAUUAACAUUUGUGAUUAUCCACAAUUAAAAUUUUGAAAACAAUUUUAAAUAAAAUGCUUGGUUAAAUAA